rnacentral:lncRNA from 1 species
UUUGGGAUUUUUUUUGGGAUCGGAAUCUAGCUUCAAGCUUUUUUUAAGGUUACUAGUUCGGUUUUAUUGGAGGUUUUUGAAGAUCAAGGGGAUUGGAGAGGAGCUUCAUGCUUCGGGUCGGAGAAGAAAAGACGGAGAAUUGGAUUUUUCUUCUUCAUAGAGUUUUGGGAAGACUGAGGCAAUCGUUGCUGAAGUCAGUGUUGUAAUGGUGAAUCGGGAUUUUUUUUAAUGAAGUGGGUUUGAUUACUCUUGACUGUUUUGUGAAAUCGAGUUACGUCUAUGAUUGAAGAAUUAAAAGGGUGUCUAUAGGAUUGAGUAUGCGGAGUGAAUGAAAUUUAUUGGGUUAAUCUAACAAGACAGUCAGUGGAUACAAGAUCGUAAGUACAAAGCGGUAUCAGAGAUUAGCAGAUUGGGUUGUUCGGGGUUCUCUGUAACGUCUAGAGACCUACC